AUGGCCCAGGUGAGAAACAUUGUUGGAGCUCUAUUCAUAGUGACCCUCAUCCUAGGAGCCCCAUGUGUGCUAGCAGGAGAAUUGCUGACAAGGUCAGCAUGGUAGUUGCCAAGGUAGAUGACUGCAACAAGCAAUGUGAGGGUAAGGGGACGCCUGCCGACAUCGACCAUUGCAAGGAGAAGUGUAGCCUCACCGAGCACUUCAGUUAUGCGACCAUCGGUGUAGGUGCCUGCCGUCAGAACUGCGACAAGCUAAAGAACGACCAAUCC
rnacentral:lncRNA from 1 species